rnacentral:rRNA from 1 species
CCUACGGGGGGCAGCAGUGGGGAAUAUUGCACAAUGGGGGAAACCCUGAUGCAGCAACGCCGCGUGAGUGAAGAAGGAUUUCGGUAUGUAAAGCUCUAUCAGCAGGGAAGAGAAGGACGGUACCUGACUAAGAAGCCCCGGCUAACGACGUGCCAGCAGCCGCGGUAAUACGUAGGGGGCGAGCGUUAUCCGGAUUUCCUGGGUGAAAAGGGAGCGUAGACGGUUCUGGAAGUCUGAAGUUCAAGCCCGUGGCUUACCCGCGGAACGGCUUUGGAAACUGUGGAACUGGAUUGCUGGAGAGUCAAGCGGAAUUCCUAGUGUAGCGGUGAACUGCGUAGAUAUUAGGCGGACCACCAGUGGCGACGGCGGCUUGCUGGACAGUACCUGACGUUGAGGCUCGAAAGCGUGGGGAGCAAACAGGAUUAGAUACCCGGGUAGUC